AGAGUUUGAUCCUGGCUCAGAACGAACGCUGGCGGCAGGCUUAACACAUGCAAGUCGAACGCCCCGCAAGGGGAGUGGCAGACGGGUGAGUAACGCGUGGGAACAUACCCUUUCCUGCGGAAUAGCUCCGGGAAACUGGAAUUAAUACCGCAUACGCCCUACGGGGGAAAGAUUUAUCGGGGAAGGAUUGGCCCGCGUUGGAUUAGCUAGUUGGUGGGGUAAAGGCCUACCAAGGCGACGAUCCAUAGCUGGUCUGAGAGGAUGAUCAGCCACAUUGGGACUGAGACACGGCCCAAACUCCUACGGGAGGCAGCAGUGGGGAAUAUUGGACAAUGGGCGCAAGCCUGAUCCAGCCAUGCCGCGUGAGUGAUGAAGGCCUUAGGGUUGUAAAGCUCUUUCACCGGAGAAGAUAAUGACGGUAUCCGGAGAAGAAGCCCCGGCUAACUUCGUGCCAGCAGCCGCGGUAAUACGAAGGGGGCUAGCGUUGUUCGGAAUUACUGGGCGUAAAGCGCACGUAGGCGGAUAUUUAAGUCAGGGGUGAAAUCCCAGAGCUCAACUCUGGAACUGCCUUUGAUACUGGGUAUCUUGAGUAUGGAAGAGGUAAGUGGAAUUCCGAGUGUAGAGGCGAAAUUCGUAGAUAUUCGGAGGAACACCAGUGGCGAAGGCGGCUUACUGGUCCAUUACUGACGCUGAGGUGCGA
rnacentral:rRNA from 1 species